rnacentral:rRNA from 1 species
UACGGAGGGUGCAAGCGUUGCUCGGAAUUAUUGGGCGUAAAGGGUAGGUAGGUGGUCUCAUUUGUCAGGGGUGAAAGCCUUGGGCUUAACUCAAGAAGUGCCCCUGAAACGGUGAGACUAGAGUGCUGGAGAGGGUCGUGGAAUUCCCGGUGUAGCGGUGAAAUGCGUAGAUAUCAGGAGGAACACCGGUGGCGAAGGCGGCUUUCUGGACAGAAACUGACGCUGAUGCGCGAAAGCUAGGGGAGCAAACAGG